rnacentral:rRNA from 1 species
GAAAUUCNNUAGUGAUUAACGCGAAGAACCUUACCAGGCCUUGACAUCCAAUGAACUUUCUAGAGAUAGAUUGGUGCCUUCGGGAACAUUGAGACAGGUGCUGCAUGGCUGUCGUCAGCUCGUGUCGUGANAUGUUGGGUUAAGUCCCGUAACGAGCGCAACCCUUGUCCUUAGUUACCAGCACGUGAUGGUGGGCACUCUAAGGAGACUGCCGGUGACAAACCGGAGGAAGGUGGGGAUGACGUCAAGUCAUCAUGGCCCUUACGGCCUGGGCUACACACGUGCUACAAUGGUCGGUACAGAGGGUUGCCAAGCCGCGAGGUGGAGCUAAUCCCAUAAAACCGAUCGUAGUCCGGAUCGCAGUCUGCAACUCGACUGCGUGAAGUCGGAAUCGCUAGUAAUCGCGAAUCAGAAUGUCGCGGUGAAUACGUUCCCGGGCCUUGUACACACCG